rnacentral:miRNA from 1 species
AUUGAGACUUUAGCAUUUUCAUG